rnacentral:rRNA from 1 species
UUAGUCAGGCAACGAGCGAGACCCACGCCCACAGUUGCCAGCGUACUCUCCGGAGUGACGGGUACACUGUGGGGACCGCCGCUGCUAAAGCGGAGGAAGGAAUGGGCAACGGUAGGUCAGUAUGCCCCGAAUAUCCCGGGCUACACGCGAGCUACAAUGGUUGGUACAAUGGGUAUCUACCCCGAAAGGGGAUGGAAAUCUCCUAAAACCAAUCUUAGUCCGGAUUGAGGGCUGCAACUCGCCCUCAUGAAGCUGGAAUCCGUAGUAAUCGCGUUUCAACAGAACGCGGUGAAUACGUCCCUGCUCCUUGCACA